AAACAAAUGCUAACAAACAAUUAGGCGGCACCUAUCAAUUAGCAGGUAAUUAAGUGCUCUUAAGGAAAUCAAAAGAAAGAAUACCACAAACUGUGGCAAAGGCAACUCCAAUAGGAGCGACAACAAGUGCAGCAAAGCAAAACAAACGCGUCAAUAGACGAGGCGUCUAGACCUAAGAAAAGACAAGAGACAGUGGAGAUAGAGAAUGAGUGAGUGAACGAGAAAGAGAGGCAGACACAAGUGACCCAGUGUCCACUGGGUUCUUAUCGUUGGCUGCUUAAUUACACGCAACUCUAGAGGCAGACAAAGACGUAGACAGAGAGAAA